AAUGGGGGAAACCCUGACCCAGCAACGCCGCGUGAAGGAAGAAGGCCUUCGGGUUGUAAACUCCUGUGACAGGGGACGAAAGAAAUGACGGUACCCUGAGAGGAAGCCAAGGCAAACUACGUGCCAGCAGCCGCGGUAACACGUAGGUGGCGAGCGUUGUCCGGAAUCACUGGGCGUANAGGGCGCGUAGGCGGUUUUGCAAGUCGCAUGUGAAAUAACAGGGCUCAACUCUGGGAGGUCAUGCGAAACUGCAGGACUUGAGUGCAGUAGAGGGAAGCGGAAUUCCUGGUGUAGCAGUAAAAUGCGUAGAGAUCAGGAGGAACACCGGUGGCGAAGGCGGCUUCCUGGACUGUAACUGACGCUGAGGCGCGAAAGCGUGGGGAGCAAA
rnacentral:rRNA from 1 species